rnacentral:rRNA from 1 species
AGAUGGCUAUAUACAGGUCGUGUUCUUGACUCGUGGCUUCUGGAGCUUGACGUUAUUCGACUGGUGAGGAGUUCGCCGAUGUUCUCCUCGAUGAAUUGACGGGGGCCCGCGAAGCGGAGGAGUGGUGGUUUCUUCGAUGCAACGCGAAGAACCUUACCUACUCUUGACAUCCAGCGAAACCUUUAAAGAUAUAUUUCUGCCUACGGGAACGCUGAGAUGGUGCUGCAUGGCUGUCGUCAGCUCGUGUUGUGAAAUGUUGGGUUAAUUCCCGCAACGACCCCUACCGUUAUCCUUUGUUGCGUACACGUAGUGACUCUAACUCAAAUGACACUGCCGGUGAUGAAGAGGAUGAAGGUGAGGAUGACUCCUCGUCGUCCUGGCCCUUAGGACUACGGCUACGCUCCUGCUACAAUGGCAGAUACCAACAAAAUCGACCUCGGAAGAGCAUCCCCAACUCUUGUCUUCUGUCGUAUUCCAGAUUGGAGUCUGCCUCUCUACUCCUUGAAUUCCGAAUCAUUAGAAAUCGUACAUGAUACUGCUACGAUGAAUACGUUCCUUGUACUUGUACACACCGCCCGUCUGACCAUGGGAGUGGGCUGCAAAAGAAGACCGUAGCUUAACUGCUCUAGGAUGGCGCUAACCACUAUGUGAUUCAUCGACAGGGGGGAACCCAUACCCGUACCAAGUG